CCAGGUGUCUGAUCUUCCUCCAGCCCACAUCCCUGCCAGCUGCCUUCACUUUGAUGUGAGCAGCCCCUGCGCCCGGUCAGCCGCAGAGGCACAGGGCAGCCCUGUUUGUUCUCUCCCCUGCAGAGCUGGAGGGUCUGGUGCGCAGGAGAUGCCCCGCCCGGGGACAGAGGGCGUCUCAACAACACAGCCCAUGCACCAGGCUGUGCUCACAGCAGCCUAAGAGGCGAUCCAGGCCGAGAUCCUCAUCAAAUUCCACGUCCCAGAUACCUCUCUUGCAUGAAACAGGAUGACGCAGCCAGAGUCACUGAAAUAAAGAGGAAGUUCCUAACAGCCAACUUCUCCAAAGCAGUAUACAGUCUCCCUGUUGGGUCACACUUUCUAUCCACCAUCAGAUGACAUCCUCAGACUGGCUACUUGACCCCAAGUAAGCAGAGGGCUCAGUCAGCACACAUUCUGCUGCCCUUGUAGCGUCCACACCAGACAACGCAAAGAAGCUACGUGUCCUGGGAAAGGUGAUCUGAGAGCUCUUCUGAGGACGAGAGGUCAGGGAAAAAGGACCUCCGAAAUCAUGACCACAGAUCCUUUUACAAACAAUUUCAAUGCCUCAAGGAUUUUCCAGUGCAGACAUGUUUUUGUCUUCACAACAGAGAAGAUUUUUCUGUCUGCUUGUUUUCUUUUUUCUUUGCACGUUGGUAGCUAUAGUAACUAAAUUUUCAUUAGUGUGAGCAGUUUCAUUGUCUUAAAAUCAUAUAUUGAUUAUAAUAGUGAUAGAACACACCAUGAAUAAUUAGACAUUCACAAAAGGGACCACUUUUUCAGAGCUUAACACUUAGGAGAAAACGCAGAGUUUAAAUGAAGUAUUUUCUUUUAAAAAUAAUACUUGUGAUUUUUGUUCAUUUAGUUAACAAAUUCAUAUUGAGUAUCUUGUGUAUGUAACCAAAAAUAAAUCUGCCUUUCCUUAGUCUGGCUGAAAGUAUUAAUACAUCAUACAUUAAAAGUCAUCUUAAAUAAUGUAAUUAAAAAAUCUUCAUCAUCAUCUUAAUCAACAGGGUUACUUAGGCAAAAAAAAAGUGGGGGAAGGGAGAG
ensembl:lncRNA